ACAAUUUUUAUAAAUAAAAAGUAUUUUUUUUUAAAUUCGAUUUUUUUAAAAAAAUUGAUUUAUUGCGUCAUCUGACGCCCACUCGCUGGCCAGCGAGUGGGCGUCACGCAUGCAUCGGGGGCGCGCCACAUCGGAGCAGCAAAGGAAGCACAACUGAUCAGGAGAGCAUAAGCAAAGAUUGCCCGGAAAUCAGCGGUGGCGGCGGCGGCGCAAUAGCUCUCAUUCCGCCGAUUCCUAGCAACAGAGGGAGAGAUAUGAUCGAGUUUUGGGGAAGGGUUUAAGUCAUGUGAUUGUUGGGCCAAAAAGGUAAAUAAAUGGCUGGGCUGAAAAUUUCCAAGAUGGGCCAAUGGAGAAGAUAUCAGCUGCUCUAUAAUUAAUUGCUGUAUUGAUUAAGUAUUGUCAUUUAAUUUUCCAAAUAUUUAACUCAUACAACUUAGUGCUUCCGAACAUAAUUAUUAAAUCCAUUGAUUUAAUUGAUAUA